GACGAACGCUGGCGGCGUGCUUAACACAUGCAAGUCGAACGAGGGUAGCAAUACUCUAGUGGCGGACGGGUGAGUAACGCGUAGGUAAUCUGCCCAUUGGUGGGGGACAACACCUCGAAAGGGGUGCUAAUACCGCAUAAGCGGGGGAGGGGAAGGUCCUUCCUCGGAAAGAUUUAUUGCCGAUGGAUGAGCCUGCGUCUGAUUAGCUAGUUGGUGAGGUAACGGCCCACCAAGGCGACGAUCAGUAGCUGGUCUGAGAGGACGAUCAGCCACACUGGAACUGAGACACGGUCCAGACUCCUACGGGAGGCAG
rnacentral:rRNA from 1 species